rnacentral:lncRNA from 1 species
CAGGUAGACUGAUGUUCUGUCUGACUAAUGUCAGUUAGGAGGUAGGACUGAAAAAACAUAAAUUUACAUCUUUAAUCAUGUUAAAAAAGUUUCUAAAGAGGAGAAUUGAUCAGAAAUGUCUUUGAGGAGAAACACUCGUUCUUCUUCAGCUUCAGGAAGAUUAGAAACCAAAUCUGGAUUCAGCCUUCCUUUUGGACUCAGUGAUGGACUGGAGAAAAAAAUAAACCUGUCCAGGCCGGGGGACUUGGAUGAAAAAACAGAUGACUUCACAGCAGCUCAACAUGUGCACUUCAGUGACGGGGAAAGGGAGCAGACCAUGUGGAUGCUAAAACACCACCGACGAAGACACUCCGUCACACUUGGAGAUAAAAUUCUAGUCUGUAAACAGCAGCACAGCUGUUUUCGAUCAGCCAACAAACUUGAGCCCUUCGACUUUAAAAACUGCUUGGUGAGUUGA